rnacentral:rRNA from 1 species
GACGAACCGUGCGAACGUUAUUCGGAAUUACUGGGCGUAAAGCGUGCGCAGGCGGUUUUGUAAGUCUGUCGUGAAAUCCCCGGGCUUAACCUGGGAAUGGCGAUGGAGACUGCAAGGCUAGAGUUUGGCAGAGGGGGGUAGAAUUCCACGUGUAGCAGUGAAAUGCGUAGAGAUGUGGAGGAACACCGAUGGCGAAGGCAGCCCCCUGGGUCAAAACUGACGCUCAUGCACGAAAGCGUGGGGAGCAAACAGG